UGGGGAAUAUUGGACAAUGGGCGAAAGCCUGAUCCAGCCAUGCCGCGUGAGUGAUGAAGGCCCUAGGGUUGUAAAGCUCUUUUGUGCGGGAAGAUAAUGACGGUACCGCAAGAAUAAGCCCCGGCUAACUUCGUGCCAGCAGCCGCGGUAAUACGAAGGGGGCUAGCGUUGCUCGGAAUCACUGGGCGUAAAGGGUGCGUAGGCGGGUUUCUAAGUCAGAGGUGAAAGCCUGGAGCUCAACUCCAGAACUGCCUUUGAUACUGGAAGUCUUGAGUCCGGAAGAGGUGAGUGGAAUUCCUAGUGUAGAGGUGAAAUUCGUAGAUAUUAGGAAGAACACCAGUGGCGAAGGCGGCUCACUGGUCCGGUACUGACGCUGAGGUGCGAAAGCGUGGGGAGCAAACA
rnacentral:rRNA from 1 species